rnacentral:lncRNA from 1 species
GGGAUUUGGGGGGAGCCGAAGAGAGGAAGGGGAAUAUGUAUACAUAAAUUUUACAUGUAAAAUACAUAGGUAUGUCAGCUUAAAAACUGAUCAUUUUACCGUUUGGCACAGGGGCAGUAUUCUUAACUUCCUCCCGACAACCUCCAACCCCACCUUCCAAAAAUGCAAAUCUAUUUGUCAUAUGAAAAUUUCUUGAUCAGUAACUAUUUCCAUCUCACCCUCAAACUCCUUAGUCAAUUUUAAUACUGUUAAGCUAAAUCUUCUUUUUCUUUCUUUCUUUCUUUUUUUUUUUUUUAAGAAAAGGUGUGGCCAUAAAAAAAAAUUUUACUGGAUCUUAAUUUGCAAGAUUAGUUCUGGUUCAUUUUAUUGCUGUAAUUUAAUACUCAUAAUGAUUUUCUGACACAUAUGUUUUAGCAGCAAGAUCUACUUCCUAUUCAUUUUUCAUUUCGAUGCAGCUGACGUAUAUUAGGCAGGAUGGUACAGAUCUGAGGGAGCAGCACCCUGUGAGAAACUGACAUCAUUCUGCCCGUCUUGGCAUCCUCCCAGACAUGUGUUGAGCCCCAAGAAGCCUGCACUUAGGAUUAUCAACAUCAUUACCAUUAUUAUCAUUACUGCAACUCUGGCUAAGGGAGUUGUGAGUUGCAUCCUAUUUGAACGUCUCCCACUGGAUUGGAAGAAAGCAAUGAGGGCCUCCUAAGUAAGCUAACAAUCACGCUGCAGUGGAGCUGAAUUAAGCGUUGGAAUCGCGCUGUUACUGCUGAGACACCCGUUCCUGUAUAAACAACUGGCUACCGACUCCAAUACUGUGAUCUUAGGAAAAACAACACCAGCUUCAGGCCAGCUUUUUUAGUUAAGCGUGGAUUUGGAGCAGUGAUUCUCAAACCUCAGAAUCCCCUGGAGGACUUCUGAUAACACAGAUGCAGGGCCGCCCUACCCUCUCUAGAGCUUCUGACUCAGUAGGUCCAGGAUGGGACCUGAAAACGUGCAUUUCCAACAACUUCGCCAAGUGAUGCAGUUGCUGCUGGGCCAGGGACCACACUUUGAAAACCACUGAACGUGAGCAAAUGAACCUGUUUUGGAGAAAGGGACUGGGGCGAAGGUAGUGGAUAAAGAAGAGAGAAGACAGAUGUGGAGGGGAGAUGAAGAGCAUGGCAUCCGAUGCAGAGAACUCAGGGUUAUGGACUGAUGAGACGCACCAAGCUCUUGGGGACACAGUGUGGCUGGGAGCUCUGGAAUGGGG